AUUUCUUCAUAAGCUUCAUCUAUCGCCGGUUGUUAUUCUGCAAUUCCAAGGUUUCUUCUUUCCGCGCGGAUCCAAUCUCUAAAAAGUACCGAUUUUUCGAAGCUAUCCCUCAUCGACGCUCUAUGAUCACCUAUUUGCAGUCUUGCUUGACUGAAAGCGCUCUCCGAUGCAACAGUUGAAGCUUGAAUUGAUAAAAUAUUCCGAGCCAUCCUUGCACAACAACAACAACAACAACAACAACUACCCAGUAAAGUUUCACAAAGUGGGGUCUGGGGAGGGUAAUAUGUAGACAGGCCUUACCCCUACCCCGAAAGGGCAGAGAGGCUGUUUCCAAUCGACCCUCGGCUCAGUGAAGGAAAGGAACAACAAAAACAAAACCAAAAUCGGAAAAUAUUUUUCCCUUGACUUCCAUCAUUCCAAAAGAUCAAAAGAGCUGUCUGGAUUCUUCUUUUUAAGUCCCUGAGACAAAUAAACUUGAAGCUCAUUUAGAUGUGAAGUU
rnacentral:lncRNA from 1 species